GACGCCGCGGUCGCUGCUAAACCCGAUGAACGCAGUGGCGAGGUCCCCGUGGCUUUUGUAGUGAAGCAACCUGGCGCCACGAUUACCGCCCAAGAAUUGCAGGAGUUCGUCAAACAGAAACUGUCAUUGUCAAAAUGGUUGCGUGGCGGGGUACAAUUUGUCGAUGCCAUACCGAAGAAUUCUACCGGCAAAAUACUACGCCGCGAACUUCGAGUAAUGAUCUCUAAAUUGUAGUAAAAAUCGCAUGUCAAUAGGCAUAUUUAUAAGUUUAAAUCUUCUUCGACGAAGACCUGCAAAGAAAAGCAAUUAAGUUAACAGAGUACAAUAAUUUUUAAUAUUUUUUAUAUCGCCAAGAGCAAUCUGGCAAUUACUGGUAAUCGCUUAAGAAAAAUGCCACGUGCUAAGAAAUAUUUUUGCGUUAAUAAACGUCUCACUGCGAAGAAGAGAGUAAGCUCCGCAAAUGUCUUCGCUGCAGAAACGUAAAUUUAUUGCAGCUUGUUGUCAUGUUGACUAAUUCGUAAGUAAACCGUUGAACAACCGUUGUCGAAUAAAUACGAGCGUUCAGUAAAUUGGUUCCACCGCCUGAAAAUAGCGAGAUAUGGCACAGCGAGAGGGUGUUUUGAGUUAUAUUACACGAUAAUACUUCUGCGUCGAUCUGUGGUGUUACGAAAAUAAGCGAAGAAACUUGUUGCAUUACACAUGAAAAACACGAGAGCGUGCACGCAUGUGCUCCCAGAUUUCAUCAAUGUUUAACUUCUUUCCUUUUUUGCGAUGAUAUAGGGAUCAAACCUUGAUUCUCGUAUUCCAUUGAAUCUGCAUAAUAAUGUAGAAAAUAUCUCUCUUUAACGGAAUUAACUCUUUAUAAAAAAAUAGCAGAACUUAUAGCGGAUUCCCACAAUGAUUCCGACUCACUUCGUAACCUUUCCGCAUUAAAAUUAUCGGCAUCAGUCUUCCAUUUUCCAUCCAUUAACAAAUCAUUCAUUUUAUAGUACCUAAGUAGUACAAAAACUGAUUUAACAAUAAGUUACGAUUUUUCAAAUGGUUUGUCUGCUGAAAUAUGUAUUUCUCUUUCUUAAAUCUAUUGGGUUAAAGUAAAUAAUUUAUUAAAAUGUCUAUCAUCUUAUUGCAAUAAGCUGUUUUUUUGUUAAUUUAUUAUGUAAAAAAAUUUAAUUUGUUAAUUUACACAACAAAAGGAAAUUUUACAAUAAUAUCGUUAUCGAUUGUCGAGUGCGUUUGUUACCACAUAUUGAAGCGAGAUAGGAAUCGUCCACCCUCGAGGAAUGCAUUUAGUAGGUCCAAUAACAAAAAAAUAAAUCGAUUAUAAACGUUUUUUUCAUGGAUAAAUUUUGGCACUAAAGUGCCAAAUUUCAACUUUCUUUUUUAUUUUAAAAAUGCUAUCUAAUAUAUCUGAUUCUCAAAUUUAAAAAAUUCGAAAGAAUUGAUGAAACAGGCAAUAAGAGUCAACGCGUAGAACUUGAUGUGUAAGAAAUUUUUUAUCCCAUAAUUAUUCAAUGUUACUACAUAUACGUAAUAAAAUCCUUUCUUUAUACGUUUCAGCCUUAUUCAGGCUUUCUUCAGCGGUAAAUAAUAUAAUAUAUUAAUACAUCUUUAUGUACAAAUAAAUAAAUUUGCUACUAUCUUUUAAAUAAGUUCCGUAUUGUGUGAGAUGGGCUUCCACAGUUUCAAGAUUACAAGCAUACGCGAUCUCUAAUAAUUAAAGAAACUCUAAAUAGAGUAGUUAACAAUCUCGAAGCUCAUAUAUGUACCACUCGGUGCAUUCACCACUGCUUGAACACAUCAAGAUGUACAUAAAUAUAUAAACCUUGAAACAAUGAAUUACAAUGUUGUAAAGUAAAAACAUUUUAACGUUACGCGUCUAUUAUCAAAUUUAAAAUGUUAUUAAUUUUGUCUAACUUGUAUGCCCGUUGUAAUAAAACCAAGUAUAUAUAAAUAA